rnacentral:lncRNA from 1 species
UGCGGAAAGAAAUUCUAAAAUUUUCGUUUAGAAAUAAAAUAUAAAUAAAAAUAAAAUACCAAAACUGGAAAACUGUUUGAGACAAUUAGCAGUUGAGAACUUAUGAUUAUGCAUCACUAUAUGAAACUGAUGAAUUGAUUGCUCCCGUGCUCCAGUGGCAAAUAUAUCACGCAUAUUUACGACGAGGCGAAAGUAGAUCUGAAGUAAAUGAUUGAUACAUUAUCAAGAUAUAAAGAGUUUGCUAGCGGUAAAACGUAUGCCGUACUAGAUAAAGUAGAUAAAGUUGAAUAAUGAUCAAAAUCUUGAGUUAAGCUAUUA